rnacentral:rRNA from 1 species
CAGCCGCCGCGGGAAUACCAGCACCUCGAGUGGUCAGGAGGUUUAUUGGGCCUAAAGCAUCCGUAGCCGGUUGCAUAAGUUUUCGGUUAAAUCUAUGAGCUUAACGUAUAGGCCGCCGAAAAUACUGUGCAGCUAGGGAGUGGGAGAGGUACACGGUACUCGAUAGGAAGGGGUAAAAUCCUUUGAUCUAUUGAUGACCACCUGUGGCGAAGGCGGUGUACCAGAACACGUUCGACGGUGAGGGAUGAAAGCUGGGGGAGCAAACCGGAUUAGAUACCCCAGUAGUCCCUGUCUCUUAUAC